rnacentral:lncRNA from 1 species
AGCCCAAGAGAGACCUUGUUCUGGGGAUCAGUUGACCUUAAAGGCUUCUCAAGAAGCCGGUGGACCAAAAGAUCAGGGUGCCAAAAGAUUUCCACCUUGGAGGAAUCGCCCAAUUUUUUGAAGCUCACAUUCCUGGUUGCUUCUCAAAUCUCACCAAAUAUUUGGAGAGUAGAAAUCCAGUGCUUUUCCUUGUGUUCCUGUUUGGAAGAUUAUUUCUCCCCCAUCCCCAAGCCAGUUAUGGUAAAAGAAUGUGAAAGUUUAGCUGAUCAUGAAAAGCUCAGAGAUGCACGGGAACAAGGGGGAGCGGCACCCCAGGGCUACUACUUAAAAUGUCAGGUGUGGAAAGUAAUGAGUCUUUGCUUAGUAGGAACCCAGCAGAAGGAGUCGUCAUGGUCCACUUGUCAGAAAAUAUUUAUUUCUUCUUGACCAUUGAAUCACGAAAAUACAAGCAAGCAAGAGUAAAGCCGUUAUUUUAAAAUAAGCUUUCAGGUUUGUCAUACCUACCUCCAAGUGAAAGUACUUACCUUAUACAUACUAUGUGACAACUCUAACUGUAUUCUUCAUGUGUAUAUUGCAGGAUUAACUUCUUUUUAUUUGAUAUUUAUUUAUUUAUUUAUUUAUUUAUUUAUUUAUUUAUUUAUUGAGACAGAGUCUCACUCUUUUGCCCAGGCUGGAGUGAAGUGGCAUGAUCUCAGCUCAUUGCAAGCUCUGCCCUCUGGGUUCAAGUGAUUCUCCUGCCUCAGCCUCCCGAGUAGCUGGGAUUACAGGCACCUGCCACCACGCCUGGCUAAUUGCAGGGUUAAUUUCUAACAGGUGACUGGGGCUUUAUAACAUUGAGGUUAUAGCAAAUAGAAUAAUCUUAAAGUGACAUUUGAAAGAAAAUGUUGUGUAAGCAAAAAUAAUUAUUUUAUUUUUGUCUUAUAAGAGACAGUGUCACAGCCAGCAAUCAAUUUAAAAUGUCACAUUCAUUGGUAUUUGUCACCUUUGUAUGGUAUCUGUUAUUUUAUUUGAGGCCAAUGAGACAUUUAUUCACCUAUUUUUGACCCCACCAUGUCCCAGCCGUAAUAUGAGAAGCUAAGUGGGAAAGGCAGAAAUAUAAAACUAAGUUAAAUUCCUCACCUUAAACAAUCUUGAAUAAUGAUAGAAGAAUGCAAUUUUUUGUUUAAGUACACAAACAAAUAAUUGUAAUAACAAUUGACCCAAACUAUAAGAUGGGUCUGUACAAAGCAUUAAAGAAAUAUAGUGGAGGAAACGACCCAUUCUGUCUUCAUGGAAGACAAUGUUUUUGCUGAGUCUUAAAGAAUGAAUGGUGACCAGGUGCGGUGGCUCACGCUUGUAAUCCCAGCACUUUGAGAGGCCAAGGUAGGUGGAUCACCCAAGGUAGGUGGAUCACUCAAUCCCAGCUACUCAGGAGGCUGAGGCAGGAGAAUCGCUUGAACCCGGGAGGUGGAGUUUGCAGUGAACUGAGAUAGUGCCUGGGUGAUGGAGGAGACCAUGUCUCAAAAAAAAAAAAAAAAAAAAAUGAAUGAGAAUUUGGCAAAUAGAGAAGAGGGUAAAUAUUCAUGGAAAAGUUAAUUACUCAGGCAAUAGCACAGAGCUGGGAGGAUAUGACAUAAUUUUAGGAAGGACAAAUGGUUUCGUAGAAGUGGAAUGCAGGAUUUUUGAGAGUACUGGCAUUAGAUGAUGGAGGUGAAGUGGGACCAGACAGAGAAGAACAACUGGUUGGAACAGAGCCUGGCACAUAGUAAGAACUAUAUGAGUAUUUGUUAACUAAAACACAAACAGUGCAACGGACCCCAGUAGGCACAGCCAUAAUUCAGGGCACAGAAGAGAGGUUUAAAUAUGUUAAUUAAUAUCUUCAGAGACAUUAGAGAGACUAUUGCUGCUAUAACAAUUACAUGAAGAACUUGUCAUGAACAGGACAAAUCAAAGAGCAAAAAAAUAUUCUUGGAAGUUAGAAAUACAACUGCCAGCAGGCGCAGUGGCUCACACCUGUAAUCCCAGCACUUUGGGAGGCCGAGUUGGGUGGAUCACCUGAGGUCAGGAGUUCAAGACCAGCCUGGCCAACAUGGUGAAACCUCAUCUCUACUAAAAUUACAAAAAUUAGCCAGGUGUGGUGGCAGGUGCCUGUAACCCCAGCUACUCAGGAGGCUGAGGCAGGAGAAUCACUUGAACCCAGAAGGCGGACGUUGCAGUGAGCCGAGAUUGUGCCAUUACACUCCAGCCCGGGUAACAGAGUGAGACUCUGUCUCAAAAAAAGAAAAAAAAAAAAAAAAAAAGAAAAGAAAAGAAAGAAAGAAAGGAAAGAAAGAAAGAAAAAAGAAAUACAACUGCCAAAAUAAGAGGUCCCACAAUGGAGAUGAAUGAUAAAUUUACCGGGGCUGAAGGAAAAGAGAUGGUAAAUAUAAGGAAACUUAAGAAUAAUGAAGACUAGUCAUAUUUAACAUUAAUUUACUAAGAGUUCCAGUAGAAGGGAAUUUGGGCAAUGGAAGGAAGAGAAAAUCCAACAAAUAAAAAAAGGAAAAUUUACCUGGGCAAAAUAAAUAAAUAAAUCCAUAAAACAAUGUACAUCUUCACAUGGAAAUGAAUCCCUGAGUGCCAAACAGGACAAAUACAGAGAAAACUGAUAUAGUUUUGAAGAGGUAAGGGAGGUGUAUUUGUGGAACAUAUUAUCUAGACAGGAAUAUAAAUCAAAUGGGCAUCAGACUUUUCAUAACAGUUAACGGGUUCUAGGAACCAUUGGAACAGUGUUUUCAAAGUGAUUGGAGAGAAGAUUUUGAACCUAGAGUUCUGCUAGCUAGUAAAACUAUCAAUGAAAAGUAAGAGCAAAAUAGAGACAUUUUAUACGUGCCAAAGCUCAGAAAGCAUUCUGCUUUUAAACUUGAUAUGACUAAACCCCUUUUGAACCCUACAGGAAAAAAAAUUACUCGAGUAAGUGGUCCAGUGGAAUAAAAAAGAAUCUAUGAAAGGAAACAUCCUGGGAUAUGAAAAUAGAGAAAGAAAAGAUGGAGUCAGAAAAACUAAAACAGAAUCUUCCACACUGAAAGGUUUGCCUUAGGAAAGUUUAAAUGAUGUAGGAUUGCAUGAUUCCGUCUCUUCUAAAUGGCUCCAUCUACACUAUGUUGUUCUAAACUUUAAAACGUUUACAUAACCAGGUCCUGCGCGGUGGCACACGCCAGUAAUCCCAGCACUUUGGGAGGCCGAGGUGAGUGGAGCCCAGGAGUUGGAGACCAGCCUUGCUUACAUGGCAAAACCCUGUCUCUACUAAAAAUACAAAAAUUAGCCAGGCAUGGUGGCGGGCACCUGUAAUUCCAGCUACUUGGGAGGCUGAGGUGGGAGAACUGCUUGAAUCUAGGAGGUGGAGGUUGCAGUGAGCUGAGAUCACCUCAAUGCACACCAGCCUGGGUGACAGAGCGAGACUGUCAAAAACAAUAAAUAAAUAAAUAAAUAAAUAAAUAAAUAAAUAAAUAAAUAAGCCGGGCGCGAUGGCUCACGCCUGUAAUCCCAGCAUUUUGGGAGGCCGAGGCGGGUGGAUCACAAGGUCAGGAGACCGAGACCAUCCUGGCUAACAUGG